CUGGGAGUAACUCCGGGAAACCGGGGGCGUAAUACCGGAUAACACAUGAAACCGCAUGGUUUCAUGAUGAAAGACGGUUUUGCUGUCACUUAUAGAUGGACCCGCGGCGUAUUAGCUAGUUGGUAAGGUAACGGCUUACCAAGGCAACGAUACGUAGCCGACCUGAGAGGGUGAUCGGCCACACUGGAACUGAGACACGGUCCAGACUCCUACGGGAGGCAGCAGUA
rnacentral:rRNA from 1 species